GACGAACGCUGGCGGCGUGCUUAACACAUGCAAGUCGAACGGAAAGGCCCUGCUUUUGUGGGGUGCUCGAGUGGCGAACGGGUGAGUAACACGUGAGUAACCUGCCCUUGACUUCGGGAUAACUUCAGGAAACUGGGGCUAAUACCGGAUAGGAGCUCCUGCUGCAUGGUGGGGGUUGGAAAGUUUCGGCGGCUGGGGAUGGACUCGCGGCUUAUCAGCUUGUUGGUGGGGUAGUGGCUUACCAAGGCUUUGACGGGUAGCCGGCCUGAGAGGGUGACCGGCCACAUUGGGACUGAGAUACGGCCCAGACUCCUACGGGAGGCAGCAGUGGGGAAUAUUGCACAAUGGGCGGAAGCCUGAUGCAGCAACGCCGCGUGCGGGAUGACGGCCUUCGGGUUGUAAACCGCUUUCGCCUGUGACGAAGCGUGAGUGACGGUAAUGGGUAAAGAAGCACCGGCUAACUACGUG
rnacentral:rRNA from 1 species